GUCAAGUAAGAAUACCCGCUGAACUUAAGCAUAUCAAUAAGCGGAGGAAAAGAAACUAACUAGGAUUCCCUUAGUAACGGCGAGUGAACUGGGAAAAGCUCAAAUUUUAAAUCACCUCGGUGAAUUGUAAUUUGAAGAAAGUGUUUUGACUUUUCAGUUUAAUCUAAAUCCUUUGGGAUGAGGUAUCAUAGAGGGUGAGAAUCCCGUUCUUGAUUAAACCUCGGAUUGCACUAAAUUCACUUUCCAAGAGUCGAGUUGUUUGGGAUUGCAGCUCCAAAUGGGUGGUAAAUUUCACCUAAGGCUAAAUAUAUGCAAGAGACCGAUAGCGAACAAGUACCGUGAGGGAAAGAUGAAAAGUACUUUGAAAAGAGGGUUAAACAGUACGUGAAAUUGUUGAAAGGGAAACGAUUGAAGUCAGUCAUGCUAGUGAGGAAUCAACUUGGUGGUUUACUUCCUUGUGCAUUUUCUCGCUUGGCAGGUUAGCAUCAAUUUUGGUUGUCAUCAAAGAAUUGGGGGAAUGUGACUUUUCUUCGGUAAAGUGUUAUAGACUCUGAUUGAUGUGGCGACUGGGAUUGAGGUUUGCAGCGGAUGCCUCUUGUGGCUAGUCACCUGUCUUCUGACCGUCACCUCGUUUUUGACAGCUUGCUGAUGAUUGCGGGAUUUGGCGAUCUAGGAGUUAGAGUGAAUAUAAAUUCACUAAGGAUGCUGACGUAAUGGCUUUAAACGACCCGUCUUGAAACACGGACCAAGGAGUCUAACAUAUGUGCGAGUGUU
rnacentral:rRNA from 1 species